rnacentral:misc_RNA from 1 species
AACGCAUAUUGCGCUCUCUGGUAUUCCGGAGAGCAUGCUUGUUUGAGUAUCAGUUACCACCUCAAGUCCGAUGUGGGUUUGGUGUUUAAAAGCGCCGAUCCCCUCAUCUUUAGACUUGGAUUUGAGUGAUCCUAACACAUUCACUUUAUUUAUAUUGUGAAAGUGGCAGGCCACUUGAAAUGCAGGUGCGGCUGAACAUUCUUCUGAGCUAAAAGCAUAUUUAUUUAGUCUUGCUUCAUUGCUGGAUUAUUACUUUUUGCUGCAGCUAACAUAAAGGAAUGAAUGUUCUUGGCUGACUGAUGCAGGAAUUUAACAGAUCUUUUUUAUAGAGAACUGUGAAUCUCGAUCUCAAAUCAAGUAAGACUACCCGCUGAACUUAA